GCGUGUGCAUGAGGUCUCUGUCGGGAGAGAUGCGUGAAAUAUCGGUGGAAUUGUCUUUGUGCUAGAAAAUGGCAUCUAGCAUUGAAUCAUAUGUCGGCCAUACAGUGUCAGUCAUCACAGCCGAUGGACGAAACAUUGUUGGCACACUGAAGGGCUACGACCAAACUAUAAACAUCAUCCUGGAUGAGAGUCAUGAGAGGGUCUACAGCCAGAAUGCUGGAGUUGAACAAGUGGUGCUUGGCUUGUACCUGAUCCGUGGCGACAAUGUGGUGGUCAUUGGAGAAAUCGAUGAGGACCUUGACUCACGGGUGGACUUCCAGAAUGUCCAUGCUGAGCCUCUUAUGUCCAUUGUGAGAGGGUAGCUUGGAUCAGUGAGACAUUGAGACAGUGAGGAUAAGUCAUAAGCCUGCCAUGAUGAGUGAUGCAGGGGACACAGCAGUGAGAGAGGACAAUCAUCACCAAUCAACCACCAGCAACACUAAACCCAAAGCUGGUGAGAAUGGUGGCAACACUUCAUGCACGUCAGCCCCGUCCGCUGUUGACGCGUUCAACUUCGACCCGGCGUCGCUGACCGCUCCCGGCAACUCGCGUCCUACAAAUGGCAACCAUUUCAUGGAUAUGGCGUUCGCCGCCGCGCGUGAUGCCCUGACCCACCAAGAAGUACCCGUCGGGUGCGUUUUCGUCCGCGGAGGACGCCUCCUCGCUACCGGUCGCAACACUGUGAACGAGACCAAGAACGCCACUCGUCACGCGGAGCUGAACUGCGCAGACCUCGUCUACGCCCGUUGCGAGGAAGCCGGUCUCUCCCCGGACUCCCUCUGGGCGCAGAUUGACGUGUUCGUAACAGUCGAACCAUGCGUGAUGUGCGCUGCUGCGCUAAUCGAGCUUGGCGUGCGCUCGGUGACUUACGGAGCGGCCAACCAGCGAUUUGGUGGAUGUGGUUCAGUGGUGAACGUGCCACAGAUGAUGCCGUCGUCUGUGACGUUCGUGCAGGAUCCUGGACGAGUGGAUGAGGCGGUUGGUCUGUUGAAGGAGUUCUACAAGGGCGAGAACCCGAACGCGCCGCGACCACAGGGCUGAACGGACUUGGGAGGAGGGGAUACGGGAAGGAAGAGUGGUUGGGAGGCGUGGGGAAGGGACGAGGAAAGUGAGAAGAUGAGGAUGAAAGAAAGGGAGGGGAUGGUGGGAAGAGUGAAGCGUGUUGUUUGAAAUGUGGAAGAGUUCUCACAGAAGUAUGUGUCUGAUCGGCACCGAUACGCGUCAUUCGUCGCUCGCGAGAUUGGAGUUUGGUUUUAGAUGGUGUCAAACGGCGUGGUUCAUGUCAUCAGCGAUUCGUCUCAAUACAUUCAUCCCAGUCUUGUUU
rnacentral:misc_RNA from 1 species